rnacentral:tRNA from 7 species
GGCCCUGUAGCUCAGUUGGUUAGAGUGCCGCCCUGUCACGGCGGAGGUCGCCGGUUCAAGCCCGGUCAGGGUCGCAA